rnacentral:rRNA from 1 species
CUGGGCCAGGCGUCUUAAGCAUGCAAGUCAAACGGAAUGUAGCAAUACAUUUAGUGGCGAACGGGUGAGUAACGCGUGGAUGAUCUACCUAUGAGAUGGGGAUAACUACUAGAAAUAGUAGCUAAUACCGAAUAAGGUCAAUUAAUUUGUUAAUUGAUGAAAGGAAGCCUUUAAAGCUUCGCUUGUAGAUGAGUCUGCGUCUUAUUAGUUAGUUGGUGGGGUAAAUGCCUACCAAGACGAUGAUAAGUAACCGGCCUGAGAGGGUGAACGGUCACACUGGAACUGAGAUACGGUCCAGACUCCUACGGGAGGCAGCAGCUAAGAAUCUUCCGCAAUGGGCGAAAGCCUGACGGAGCGACACUGCGUGAAUGAAGAAGGUCGAAAGAUUGUAAAAUUCUUUUAUAAAUGAGGAAUAAGCUUUGUGAGGAAAUGCACAAAGCGUAUGCACGUAAAAUUUAUGAAAUAAGGUCC